rnacentral:rRNA from 1 species
CCUACGGGUGGCAGCAGCUAAGACUAUUCCGCAAUGGACGAAAGUCUGACGGAGCGACGCCGCGUGGAUGAUGAAGGUCGGAAGAUUGUAAAAUCCUUUUAUGACUGAAGCAUAAGUAUGGUGAGAGAAACGCCGUAUGGUGACAGUAGGUCAUGAAUAAGCAACGGCUAAUUACGUGCCAGCAGCCGCGGUAACACGUAAGUUGCGAGCGUUGUUCGGAAUUAUUGGGCGUAAAGGGCAUGCAGGCGGAAUUGCAAGCUUGGUGUGAAAUACCGGGGCUUAACUCCGGAAUAGCAUUGAGAACUGAAAAACUAGAGUCACUGAGGGGCAAUCAGAAUUCCAGGUGUAGGGGUGAAAUCUGUAGAUAUCUGGAAGAAUACCAAUGGCGAAGGCAGGUUACCAGCAGAUGACUGACGCUGAGGUGCGAAGGUGCGGGGAGCAAACAGGAUUAGAUACCCCAGUAGUC